GAAAUGCGAUAAGUAGUGUGAAUUGCAGAAUUCAGUGAAUCAUCGAAUCUUUGAACGCACAUUGCGCCCCUUGGUAUUCCAUGGGGCAUGCCUGUUCGAGCGUCAUUUGUACCCUCAAGCUCUGCUUGGUGUUGUGUGUUUGUCCCGUCUCCGCGCGUGGACUCGCCCCAAAGUGAUUGGCAGCCGGCGUACUGGUCCCGGAGCGCAGCACAUGUCGCGCAAACGAGUGCCUUGGUACGGCGGCGUCCAUAAGCCCCUCUCUCACGCUCUUGACCUCGGAUCAGGUAGGGAUACCCGCUGAACUUAAGC
rnacentral:misc_RNA from 1 species